CUUAAAACAUUCACUUUUUUACUGCUGUUUGUAAGUUUUAUAAAAAAUUUCUAUAGAUAGUUUUGAACAAAGCGAGAAUAAUCUGAAAGUAUACAAGCAGUAAAAAAAGUAUAUGUGCUAUAAUAUGCUUUGAGCAAGUUGGAUAGAUGGUGGCUAUCUGAGUAUAAGGAGGUGGUGCCUAUGGUGGCAUUACUGAAAUCUUUAGAAAGGAGACGCCUAAUGAUUACAAUUAGUACCAUGUUGCAGUUUGGUUUAUUCCUUAUUGCAUUGAUAGGUCUAGUAAUCAAGCUUAUUGAAUUAAGCAAUAAAAAAUAACCAUCGCUAACUUUGGCUGGUUUCGAUGGUUAAAUGGUUAUUAAUUUAAUCUUUAAUCUAAAAUAGCCACCGUCUUUUUAACGGGCUCACUAGGGUAACAUGUUUGCGCAUGUUGCCCUUUUUC
rnacentral:misc_RNA from 1 species